rnacentral:sRNA from 1 species
GCCAGGUGCAGUGGUGCACACCUGUAAUCCCACCAGCUUGGGAGGCUGAGGCAGGAGGAUGGCAAGUUUGAGGCCAACCUCAGCAACUUAGCAGGACUCUGUCUCAA